UCGCUCGUGAGGNCGGCGCUGAAGGAAGCGGGGAACGAACCCGCGAGCCGACGAACAGGAACCGGAUACGAGGCGGCCUCGACCAGGGCGAGCGGGCAACUGACCGCGAAGCUCUCGCGACCAAGGGGCGAGGCUGUAAAUCCGGCGGUUGUGCGGGGACGGCCAGAGUC
rfam:Freshwater sediment metagenome lwFormaldehyde_C1583, whole genome shotgun sequence.